rnacentral:rRNA from 1 species
UAAACGAAAGUUUGACUAAGCCAUAUUAAUUAGGGUUGGUAAAUUUCGUGCCAGCCACCGCGGUCAUACGAUUAACCCAAGUUAAUAGGCAUACGGCGUAAAGUGUGUUAAAGCACUAUACUAAAUAAAGUUAAAUUCCAAUUAAGCUGUAAAAAGCCAUAAUUGUAACAAAAAUAUAUAACGAAAGUAACUUUACAACCGCUGAAACACGAUAGCUAGGACCCAAACUGGGAUUAGAUACCCCACUAUGCCUAGCCUUAAACACAAAUAGUUAUGCAAACAAAACUAUUCGCCAGAGUACUACCGGCAAUAGCUUAAAACUCAAAGGA